CCCAGCUCGGGUUCGGUUUCGCAUUUUGUUCUCGAGUGGGAGACGCGCAUUAGCAUCGGCGGCGCGGCGCGGCGCGCGCGGCGGAGGUCAGCCACGCCGGCGAUGGCGACCCCUCCGGUUCCAAUAGCGGCGGCGCGACCUUCGCUGCCAAGUGCCAACCUGCGGGAACGAGGCGCCGGAUCUGUGACCUGGGAAGUAGUAGCGGAGAUCUGACGCUCGAGCAUGCUGAUCUGCCUUCCCGGGCGGAAUGCGUAGAAUGUAUCCGCAACAUGUUCUGGAUAGAUGCGAAGAUAUGCAGCUUGUCCAAUGUACGCCAGUAGUACUGAAGGAAGGAGAACUACAGAAAAUCCAAUCUGCAGCACCACAAAAAGCUGUGAAUCUUGUGAUCUGCAUUAACUAGUGUAGGUGGUCAAAGGGGAAAGGCACGGUGACUUUUCUUCAGAAGCGCGUCCUCACCUGUGACUUAAAUCAUCACCUCGACGGACUGAAUCACCAUGAACGCAAGGAAUGCAGGAUUUAAGUUGUUAUUUGUAAAGUUCACAAGUUGCUCGUUCUGCCAGGGGUGGAUCUAGUGUGGGGUUGUGGAAGCUCCAGCCCCUUACCCGUGGAGAAUAGGGGGAGUGGGAAGAAGAAGUGAAGUACAUUUAGGAAAGCUUGCCUUCGGCUCCCGCCAGUCACGUGCGCAUGAACGACCUUUUGAGCAGUCAGAAACUUUGAAGAGUGUAUAACGGCCCAAGUUGCUGCCAAAAGUAUUUGACUUCAAUGCUGUUGGGCCAAACAAUAUCGUAUGCAAAGAUGAGAAGCUGGAGAUCUUUUCAAAGAAAGUGGCGGGAUCUGUCCAGAUUAAGUGGAUUUGGAUUCUCUUAAGCAAGUCAGAGAAACACAGCUUGAUAAUUUUGGGCUGAUCCUGGUCAUUCCAUCGAAGAUGAAUGCAAGACAAGAUUCUAUUAUUGCAGACGAACAGUGGUUACAGAUGCGAAAGGGGUCUCAAAUCUCAAUUACCGUGUGGAUUCUUUCUUGGAAAUCUAGGAGGACCUGCCUGAGUAAAGUUCGAAGUUCAUGGAAGUCGUUUUCAGUGUCACGCAUCAGGGAAUUAUAUACUGGAGGUACAUAGGCCGGCUCCACUGAAAAUAUGCUGCAAUUGGUAGUGGAAUUCCCAAAGGAUAUAUAUGUGUGUGUAAGUGUCUUGUCUUUUGUACAAGUGGGUCUGGUUUUCUUGCUUUGUUCUUUCAUCCUUUUCGAAGCAAUUCAUUUUCAUCUUCCAACUUUAGGUUAUAUAGAUGUUGUUUUAUUCAAUUCCUAUGCACGUGGCAAUUCUAAGCACGGCACAGUUUCUGGGGGCAUCUGCAAGCACAUUAAAAGGUGAUGGCAACCAGAUCACCUGAGCUGUGUGUGUUUGCAUUUUGACUAGUCCUGGAUGAAACUUUUCAUGACAUAUAUACAUAUAAAAUGGUAUAGAUAUAUUAAC